rnacentral:misc_RNA from 1 species
CCAAUAGCGUAUAUUAAAGUUGUUGCAGUUAAAAAGCUCGUAGUUGAAUUUCGGGAUUGACGUGAUGGUCAUGCCUUAAGGGGUAUGAACUGUUACAGUUGAUUUCUCACCUUCUGGAGAAACUUGAUGUCCUUUAUUGGGUGUCUUGCGGAUCCAGGACCUUUACCUUGAAAAAAUUAGAGUGUUUAAAGCAGGCAUUUUUGCUCGAAUACAUUAGCAUGGAAUAAUAGAAUAGGACGGCAUGGUUCUAUUUUGUUGGUUUCUAGGAUCACCGUAAUGAUUAAUAGGGAUAGUUGGGGGCAUUAGUAUUCAAUUGUCAGAGGUGAAAUUCUUGGAUUUAUUGAAGACUAACUACUGCGAAAGCAUUUGCCAAGGAUGUUUUCAUUAAUCAAGAACGAAAGUUAGGGGAUCGAAGACGAUCAGAUACCAUCGUAGUCUUAACCAUAAACUAUGCCGACUAGGAAUCAGACGAUGUUAAUUUUUUAAUGACUCGUUUGGCACCUUACGGGAAACCAAAGUGUUGGUUC